UUAGCGGCGGACGGGUGAGUAACACGUGGAUAACCUACCUAUAAGACUGGGAUAACUUCGGGAAACCGGAGCUAAUACCGGAUAAUAUUUUGAACCGCAUGGUUCAAAAGUGAAAGACGGUCUUGCUGUCACUUAUAGAUGGAUCCGCGCUGCAUUAGCUAGUUGGUAAGGUAACGGCUUACCAAGGCAACGAUGCAUAGCCGACCUGAGAGGGUGAUCGGCCACACUGGAACUGAGACACGGUCCAGACUCCUACGGGAGGCAGCAGUAGGGAAUCUUCCGCAAUGGGCGAAAGCCUGACGGAGCAACGCCGCGUGAGUGAUGAAGGUCUUCGGAUCGUAAAACUCUGUUAUUAGGGAAGAACAUAUGUGUAAGUAACUGUGCACAUCUUGACGGUACCUAAUCAGAAAGCCACGGCUAACUACGUGCCAGCAGCCGCGGUAAUACGUAGGUGGCAAGCGUUAUCCGGAAUUAUUGGGCGUAAAGCGCGCGUAGGCGGUUUUUUAAGUCUGAUGUGAAAGCCCACGGCUCAACCGUGGAGGGUCAUUGGAAACUGGAAAACUUGAGUGCAGAAGAGGAAAGUGGAAUUCCAUGUGUAGCGGUGAAAUGCGCAGAGAUAUGGAGGAACACCAGUGGCGAAGGCGACUUUCUGGUCUGUAACUGACGCUGAUGUGCGAAAGCGUGGGGAUCAAACAGGAUUAGAUACCCUGGUAGUCCACGCCGUAAACGAUGAGUGCUAAGUGUUAGGGGGUUUCCGCCCCUUAGUGCUGCAGCUAACGCAUUAAGCACUCCGCCUGGGGAGUACGACCGCAAGGUUGAAACUCAAAGGAAUUGACGGGGACCCGCACAAGCGGUGGAGCAUGUGGUUUAAUUCGAAGCAACGCGAAGAACCUUACCAAAUCUUGACAUCCUUUGACAACUCUAGAGAUAGAGCUUUCCCCUUCGGGGGACAAAGUGACAGGUGGUGCAUGGUUGUCGUCAGCUCGUGUCGUGAGAUGUUGGGUUAAGUCCCGCAACGAGCGCAACCCUUAAGCUUAGUUGCCAUCAUUAAGUUGGGCACUCUAAGUUGACUGCCGGUGACAAACCGGAGGAAGGUGGGGAUGACGUCAAAUCAUCAUGCCCCUUAUGAUUUGGGCUACACACGUGCUACAAUGGACAAUACAAAGGGCAGCGAAACCGUGAGGUCAAGCAAAUCCCAUAAAGUUGUUCUCAGUUCGGAUUGUAGUCUGCAACUCGACUACAUGAAGCUGGAAUCGCUAGUAAUCGUAGAUCAGCAUGCUACGGUGAAUACGUUCCCGGGUCUUGUACACACCGCCCGUCACACCACGAGAGUUUGUAACACCCGAAGCCGGUGGAGUAACCUUUUAGGAGCUAGCCGUCGAAGGUGGGACAAAUGAUUGGGGUGAAGUCGUAACAAGGUAGCCGUAUCGGAAGGUGCGGCUGGAUCACCUCCUUU
rnacentral:rRNA from 1 species